rnacentral:rRNA from 1 species
GACGAACGCUGGCGGCGUGCUUAACACAUGCAAGUCGAACGGAAAGGCCCCUUUGGGGGUACUCGAGUGGCGAACGGGUGAGUAACACGUGAGUAACCUGCCCUUGACUUCGGGAUAACUUCAGGAAACUGGGGCUAAUACCGGAUAGGAAUCCUUGCUGCAUGGUGGGGGUUGGAAAGCUUCGGUGGUUUUGGAUGGACUCGCGGCUGAUCAGCUUGUUGGUGGGGUAGUGGCUUACCAAGACUUUGACGGGUAGCCGGCCUGUGAGGGCGACGGGCCACAUUAGGACUGGGAUACGGCCCAGACUCCUACGGGAGGCAGAGGUGGGGAAUAUUGCACAAUGGGCGGAAGCCCGAUGCAGAAGCGCCGCGUGCGGGAUGACGGCCUUCGGGUUGUAAACCGCUUUCAGCAGGAGCGAAGCUUGUGGUGACGGUACCUGCAGAAGAAGCACCGGCUAACUACGUG